CACGUAGGGAGCAAGCGUUGUCCGGAUUUAUUGGGCGUAAAGAGCUCGUAGGCUGUUCGAUAAGUCGGGUGUGAAACCUCCAGGCUCAACCUGGAGACGCCACCCGAUACUGUCAUGACUAGAGUCCGGUAGGGGAGCGUGGAAUUCCUGGUGUAGCGGUGAAAUGCGCAGAUAUCAGGAGGAACACCUGUGGCGAAAGCGGCUCACUGGACCACAACUGACGCUGAGGCGCGAAAGCUAGGGGAGCAAACAGG
rnacentral:rRNA from 1 species